rnacentral:rRNA from 1 species
GACGAACGCGGCGGCGUGCCUAAUACAUGCAAGUAGAACGCACAGUUUAUACCGUAGCUUGCUACACCAUAGACUGUGAGUUGCGAACGGGUGAGUAACGCGUAGGUAACCUGCCUGGUAGCGGGGGAUAACUAUUGGAAACGAUAGCUAAUACCGCAUAAUAUUAAUUAUUGCAUGAUAAUUGAUUAAAAGGUGCAAUUGCACCACUACCAGAUGGACCUGCGUUGUAUUAGCUAGUAGGUGAGGUAACGGCUCACCUAGGCGACGAUACAUAGCCGACCUGAGAGGGUGAUCGGCCACACUGGGACUGAGACACGGCCCAGACUCCUACGGGGGGCAGCAGUAGGGAAUCUUCGGCAAUGGACGAAAGUCUGACCGAGCAACGCCGCGUGAGUGAAGAAGGUUUUCGGAUCGUAAAGCUCUGUUGUAAGAGAAGAAACGGGUGUGAGAGUGGAAAAGUUCACACUGUGACGG